AGUCACUGACAUUAGAUACCCGCGUAGUCCCAGCCGUAAACAAUGUGCGUUAGGUGUGUCGGUAACCACGCGUUACUGAUGCGCCGAAGAGAAAUCGUGAAACGCACCACCUGGGAAGUACGGUCGCAAGGCUGAAACUUAAAGGAAUUGCGGGGAGCACCACAACAGGUGGAGCCUGCGGUUUAAUUGGAUUCAACGCCGGACAUCUCACCGGAUAAGACAGCUGAAUGAUUGUCAAUCUGAAGGUUUUACAUGACUAGCUG
rnacentral:rRNA from 1 species